rnacentral:rRNA from 1 species
UGGGGAAUAUUGCACAAUGGAGGGAACUCUGAUGCAGCAACGCCGCGUGCGGGAUGACGGCCUUCGGGUUGUAAACCGCUUUCAGCCAUGACGAAGCUUUUGUGCCGGUAGUGGUAGAAGAAGCACCGGCUAACUACGUGCCAGCAGCCGCGGUGAUACGUAGGGUGCGAGCGUUGUCCGGAAUUAUUGGGCGUAAAGAGCUUGUAGGCGGUUUGUCGCGUCGAUAGUGUAAACACGCAGCUUAACUGUGUGCCUGCUGUCGAUACGGGCUGGAUAGAGGAGGGUAGGGGAGAAUGGAAUUCCCGGUGGAGCGGUGGAAUGCGCAGAUAUCGGGAGGAACACCAGUGGCGAAGGCGGUUCUCUGGACCUUUCCUGACGCUGAGAAGCGAAAGCGUGGGUAGCAAACAGG